rnacentral:rRNA from 1 species
GACGAACGCUGGCGGCGUGCUUAACACAUGCAAGUCGAACGGAGUGGCGAACGGGUGAGUAACACGUGGGUGACCUGCCCUGCACUUCGGGAUAAGCCUGGGAAACUGGGUCUAAUACCGGAUAGUGUGGGAUGGGCCCGCGGCCUAUCAGCUUGUUGGUGGGGUAAUGGCCUACCAAGGCGGCGACGGGGAGCCGGCCUGAGAGGGUGGACGGCCACAUUGGGACUGGGACACCGCCCAGAGUACGACGUGAGGCAGGAGUGGGGAAUAGUGCACAAUGGGCGGAAGCCUGAUGCAGCGACGCCGGGUGGGGGAGGACGGCCUUCGGGUUGUAAACGCCUUUCACCAUCGACGCGGUAGAUGGAGAAGAAGCACCGGCUAACUACGUGCCAGCAGCCGCGUAAUUC